rnacentral:lncRNA from 1 species
GAGGAGCAGGAGUAACUCUGCCCCCAGAGCACACAGCUGUAGGUGGCACUGGAGGGUAUGGUUUUCCACCCAGCAGGCGAGGUUCUGAAGACCUUCCCUGAGAUACAGCUCCCCUGCUCCUAUUACCCGCUGAAUGUGUUCUCUUGGGAUCAAAGAGGCACAGAUGCCAACACCCACGGACACUCAGGCACCCCUACACCGUUCUUUAAAUGUAGAUCAUACUUGUUAGUAUUUUUCAGAGAACAAUGACAAGAAAAAGUCUCUGACGACUCUGUUCUGAGGAAUCAUACCCCUAAGUGUCUGCGAUGGGAAUUUGGUUGAGAAAAAGAAUUGAGGAGCUGAGAGAUGGCUUAAGUGUACCAAGCCUCCACGGCUGCCUACGGACAGCUGAUACGUAACAGAGGGCUGUGCUGCUCGUGGUCACUCUGGAAAACCUGUGCAUCCAAAGACCUUUAACUUCUCUGGAGGAUGAGACCCCACGCCUCCUCACUGAAUAACUCAGCCUGGCAGCCCCUGGCGGCCUUCCGCAAGCACUGACUGGGAAGGAAAAGGCUGAGACGGGGGAUUCUGGAUGUUGCGGUGGGGCCAUAGGAAGGCGGGGAGAGCUGCUGGCCUGAUCGAAGGAGAAAGGGUGUUAGGAUGAUGUGGGAUCAUGUGUGCUGCAGAGCCGCCCAGGCAGGCACUCGCUGGCUGGGGAAGAGUAACUAAUAAAUAAAUGACAGUCUCAGA